GUCUUUACUGUAGUGUAACUGUGGUCCUUUAAUCCACUGAUAUCAUCCAAGUAUAUAUUAAGAGAUAGAUAUCUGUCCAAAAGACGAGAAUCAGCUGGUAUUUGUUUUGAUAACUCAAGGCUGGUUCAUGCCGGAGGGUAUAACUGGUCCACCAUGUUUAUUCAUUUUUGAUUCUGUGAGUUUCAACCACCAGAUAUCCUGAAUAUCUACUGUUACAUAUUAAACCUUCGGAGUAGUUAGUAAAUUGUAAACCUAAUGCAGUCAGCAAACAGUUACAUACAAAAAUAAUGCAGUCAGCUAACAAACUAAAUCAGUCAGCUAACAUGCUAAUGCUUUCUGCUAACAUGCUAAUGCUUUCUGCUAACAUACUAAUGCUUUCUGCUAACAUACUAAUGCUUUCUGCUAACAUACUAAUGCAGUCAGCUAACAUGCUAAUCGAGGUUAUGCAGUGGUUUGGGAUGUGUGGGUACCAUUAUGAAACCAGAUUAUUCAGCCAUCUGGAGCAAAUUAAAAGUAAUACCCAGUGAUCUUGAUAGUACUACUUCAUAAUUUAUACAGCAGCGGGUUUUCUGUGUUCUAAUGAGUCCAUGCUGAACUGGAUAUGGUGUUUAAACAAAGCUGGUGAAUUUUAACAUACAUACCAGAUAUCAAGCAUGUUGGAUUUGAUAUGAUGACAUCACACUUUUUAAUAUCUUUAUUUUACACCUGUCUCAUGAAUCGCUGUUUGCUUUAACAAGCAGGUGCACCUAAUUAAGUGGCCCGGUAAGGAUUUAUUUACCGUAUGUGUAUAUAUAUUACAUUAAAUAUACGGUAAGAACCAGGACCACAGGCUUCUUAAUGCUCCCAAUUCACUGCUUUAUUGACACCACCAUAAUCUGAGUUCAGUGUUUUUUUUAUUUUUAUAUUUCACUUAACAUGGCCAUGGUGGAUGUGGAAAUAAUUAAAGACCAUGUCAAAGAGGUACAUUUGGUCAUACCAUAUUUCAUACAUAUAAAUCUGGUCAGGUCAGAACCUAAGCAACAUUCAAAACAAUUACAGCCCCCCUGACAAUUACACACACCGGAUGCCUCAUAUUGUGUAAGUACAGUGACUUUAAAAAAAAAAAAAAAAACUUUGGUAUCUGUCAUAAUUAAAUAGCUGAAACAGGUAUAUAAAUCAACAGGACAUAUUACAGUAGGGGAUUGUCUUUCGACAAAAUCUUGUUUCUCCCCAUACAACUUAGACCGCAGUAGACUUGAUUAGGUUUUAUCUUAAUCUUGAUGGCCUUGCCAAAAUUGGGUGAUUGAAUUUGUUUGGCAAAAUUCCACUGGGUAGAUGGACAUAAAAUGGACAUGUAACAGCCUAUUGUCUAGGAAGGUGCUCACUGUUGGAGCUCAAACCUUCCUCCCCCUUCACUGAUACUGUGGGCACGCCUGGAGACUUCCCGAAGAGCCUUUUAAAUGUACAGUGGAUAUAAUAAGUCUACACACCCCUGUUAAAAUGCCAGGUUUUUGUGAUGUAAAAGAAUGAGACAAAGAUAAAUCAUGUCAAGAUUCUUCCACUUUUAAUGUGACCUAUAAUGUGAACAAUUCAAUUGAAAACAAACUGAAAUAUUCGAGGGGUGAAAAUUUAAAAUAAAAACCUUACAAUAGCCUGACUGCAUAAGUGUGCAUACCCUCUUAGAACUGGGGAUGUGGCUUUAUUCAGAAUUAACCAAUCAUAUUCAAACUCAUGUUAAAUAGAAGUUUUCUCAGUCUCCUCCAGUUUAAAAUUUUAGGAGGAGAUGAGGUCCUGGUCCACACCUGCGGAUUACCUGGUUUGGGGGGCCCCAUGCUGUCCUUGUCCACCUGGUCAUACUUCUGACCUAGUCUAAAAUCAAAUAGACUCUGGAUUUAGGCCAGAGAAAUGUAUUUAUUAUUCCAAUUGGACUCUUAAUAGCUCACCCGGCACAGCCAGAAGAGGACUGGUCACCCCUCUGAGCCUGGGUCCUCUCUAGGUUUCUUCCUAAAAUUCGACCUUCUUAGGGAGUUUUUCCUAGCCACUGAAAUACAACACUACUGUUGUUUGCUCCUGGGGUUUAAGGCCGGGUGUCUCUGUAAACCACUUUGUGACAACUGCUGUUGUAAAAAGGGCUUUAUAAAUAAAUUUGAUUGAUUGAUUGAGAAAUCAUUACACACCUGCCAUCAUUUAAAGAUACUCUGAUUAAUCACAAAUAAAGUUCAACUGUUCUAGUAUGAUUUUCCUGACAUUUUCUUAGUUGCAUCUCAGAGCAAAAGCCAUGGUCAGCAGAGAGCUUCCAAAGUAUCAGAGGGAUCUCAUUGUUAAAAGAUAUCAGUCAGGAGAAGGGUACAAAAUAAUUUACAAAGCAUUAGAUAUACCAUGGAACACAGUGAAGACAGUCAUCAUCAAGUGGAGAAAAUAUGGCACAACAAAAGACUGAGUGCUGUAAUAAAAUCAAAAGGUGCUUCAACAAAGUAUUAGUUUAAGGGUGUGCACACUUAUGCAACCAGGUUAUUGUUAUUUUAAAUAUAUAUAUAUUUUUUUUUUUCAAUUGAAUUGUUCAUGUUAUAGGUCACAUUUAAGGUGGAAAAUGUCUGACAAGAAUCAUCUUUGUCUCAUUCUUUUACGUCUCAAGAACCUGGCAUUUUAACAGGGGUGUGUAUACUUUUUAUAUCCACUGUAUUUUCCAGUUGUCGGUCAGCAUUCAAGACGUGCCAGUGUUUGUUUUUUUCUGACAUGGCUGUACUGUUCGUGUAGUGGGUAGUGACGAAAGACGCACAGGACUCGUCGGUUGCUGUGAGGAAAUGGUUUGGGUUGACGUCCUAGGUCAUAUUUCUAUGCCUCACAGCCAUUUAUCAGUGUAACCCAGUUCGCUGAAGCGUUCAUCCAAAAUGUCCAGAAAACUUGUUCCAUGUGCAUCAAAGGUAAGCGUGAAUUCUAGAUGUUCACUGCUUGUGUUGAUGGAGUGGAAUUCCUGGAGUACCUCUGCUAUGCCCUGGAAUAAAAGGAAUAUGACAUCAAUAAAGCGUCUCCAGAGUUUGAUAUGGCGCAAGAUUGGAUUACAGACUGGAAUGAUUAGGAGUAAUUUUGUUACCCAUAACAGGUCCCUUAUGCUGAAUGAAGCCCUAUGAAAAAUUAGGUCAUUGACUUUGAUAUUGUGCCAUUGAUUCUAGACCUCCUGGCAGGGAUGUAAAGUUACCUAAAGGCUAUUAUUAUAGAGCCAGACAUAUUGUCCAGCAUCUUGAGUGUUAACCCUGUCCAUAGAAUCCCGUACCUGUCCAGGGAUCGAAUCCACACUGGGUCUUUUAUAAUCUAUAGAUAUCCGCCUAAUGAGACCACGAUAUAAGUCCCACUGGAGGCCUAUCCAAU
ensembl:lncRNA